rfam:Schistosoma mansoni strain Puerto Rico chromosome 3, complete genome
AUCCAGCUAACGAGUCUGAAAUAAAACGAAACGAGCGUCAAACUGGAU